UACAGAGGUCUCAACCGUUGUUCGGAUUCAUUGGGCGUAAAGGGCGUGUAGGCGGACUGUUAAGUCUGGCGUGAAAGCUCCCGGCUAAACCGGGGGAGGUCGUUGGAUACUGGCAGACUAGAGGAUGGUAGAGGCGUGUGGAAUUCCGGGUGUAGUGGUGAAAUGCGUAGAGAUCCGGAGGAACACCAGUGGCGAAGGCGACACGCUGGGCCAUACCUGACGCUAAAGCGCGACAGCAUGGGGAGCAAACGGG
rnacentral:rRNA from 1 species